rnacentral:rRNA from 1 species
UACAGAGGUCCCAAGCGUUGUUCGGAUUCACUGGGCGUAAAGGGUGCGUAGGCGGUCGGGUAAGUCUGAUGUGAAAUCUACACAGCUUAACUGUGAAACUGCAUUGGAUACUAUCCGGCUCGAGGAAUGGAGGGGAGACUGGAAUACUUGGUGUAGCAGUGAAAUGCGUAGAUAUCAAGUGGAACACCAGUGGCGAAGGCGAGUCUCUGGACAUUUCCUGACGCUGAGGCACGAAAGCCAGGGGAGCAAACGGG